rnacentral:rRNA from 1 species
CAGCCGCCGCGGGAAUACGUAGGUGGCGAGCGUUGUCCGGAAUUAUUGGGCGUAAAGGGAGCGCAGGCGGACAUAUAAGUCCAUCUUAAAAGUGCGGGGCUCAACCCCGUGAGGGGAUGGAAACUGUAUGCCUUGAGUGCAGGAGAGGAAAGCGGAAUUCCCAGUGUAGCGGUGAAAUGCGUAGAUAUUAGGAAGAACACCAGUGGCGAAGGCGGCUUUCUGGACGAAAACUGACGCUGAGGCGCGAAAGCUAGGGGAGCGAACGGGAUUAGAUACCCCCGUAGUCCCUGUCUCUUAUACC